rnacentral:rRNA from 1 species
GUAAUAUAUAGAUAACGUGCCUCUUAGUCUGGGAUAGCCAUUGGAAACGAUGAUUAAUACCGGAUACUCCUUCUAACUCUAAUGUUAGUCGGGAAAGUUUUUCGCUAAGAGAUCGGUCUAUAUCCCAUCAGUUAGUUGGUAAGGUAACGGCUUACCAAGGCAAUGACGGGUAGCGGGUUUGAGAGGAUGAUCCGCCACACUGGUACUGAGACACGGACCAGACUCCUACGGGAGGCAGCAGUGAGGAAUAUUGCACAAUGGGGGAAACCCUGAUGCAGCAACGCCGCGUGGAGGAUGACGCAUUUCGGUGUGUAAACUCCUUUUAUGAGUCAAGAAAAUGACGGUAGCUCAUGAAUAAGCACCGGCUAACUCCGUGCCAGCAGCCGCGGUAAUACGGAGGGUGCAAGCGUUACUCGGAAUCACUGGGCGUAAAGGACGCGUAGGCGGGAUGCCAAGUCUGAUGUGAAAUCCUAUGGCUUAACCAUAGAACUGCAUUGGAAACUGGUAACCUAGAGUAUGGGAGGGGGAGAUGGAAUUAGUGGUGUAGGGGUAAAAUCCGUAGAUAUCACUAGGAAUACCGAAAGCGAAGGCGAUCUCCUGGAACAUAACUGACGCUAAGGCGUGAAAGCGUGGGGAGCAAACGGGAUUAGAUACCCCGGUAGUCCACGCCCUAAACGAUGAACACUAGUCGUCGCUCUGCUUGUCAGGGCGGUGAUGCACUUAACAGAUUAAGUGUUCCGCCUGGGGAGUACGGUCGCAAGAUUAAAACUCAAAGGAAUAGACGGGGACCCGCACAAGUGGUGGAGCAUGUGGUUUAAUUCGAAGAUACGCGAAGAACCUUACCUAGCCUUGACAUUGAUAGAAUACCCUAGAGAUAGAGUAGUGCCUUUCGGGGAACUUGAAAACAGGUGCUGCACGGCUGUCGUCAGCUCGUGUCGUGAGAUGUUGGGUUAAGUCCCGCAACGAG